GGAAGCAAAGGAUGUUGCGCGUGCGGAAGCCGGUGCUGUCGUCCACGCCACGGUAGAAAAGCGGAUGCGCGUACGCGUCCGGGAUGUUCAGGAUCUGGCCGGUGGUUGCCACGUGGCCCGCAAUGCCCUGGUCAGCCGGGAUGCGGAUCUCGUAGCUCUGCCAGGGCAGUGAUGGAGUAGAGAGGAAGUUAGCGGCCGGCCACAGAACGGACCAUGGACUGUCCCGCUUCCUCCUCCUUGGGCGCCUUGUGGACUCCCGGCCCCCAGGACUACGGCCACACACUCCCUCCGCGCGCCCGUGCCUCACCUCGUCAUCCACCACGCCCCCGUCGAACACCUUGGCCACCAGCUCAUUUUGAUCCAGCAGGAACACGGAGCAGCUGUGGGGAGACAGCCACGGUCCACAGGUCCCUGGCAGCCCUCUCCGACCACCCCCACUUCUCACGACUUUAGGCAAAGCCUAGAUUUCUGAAGCCUGAAAGGUGCUAUCCA
rnacentral:lncRNA from 1 species